rnacentral:rRNA from 1 species
AUGGUACCUCAGCCACCGUACAUUGGGCAGAGAUUUGAAUCGUUCGAACAAGCAAAGGAAUACUACCAGACAUAUGCAAAGUUCCAUGGAUUUUCGGUCAACACCGAGUACCAUAGGAAAAUUAAGAAAACUAACGAGUACAGCAGAGGUGAGAUGAGGUGCCACAAGGCACGGAGGAACAAGAAGGGGAAAUGUGUUGCGCCUGUCAUUACGGAACGAAAGAGAGGUAUCAUUCUCAAGACUGAGUGCCCUGUCCGGUGUAAGCUAAACGUAGAUGGAGCACAGUGGGUGGUCAAUGAAUAUUUUGACGAGCACAACCACCAACUCAUAAAGAAGUUCGACCUGGUAAAAUUUCUGACCGCCCACAAAGGGUUCACCCCCGUCGAAAGGCAAUUCGUAAAGCUGCUACAUGAUUGUAACGUCGGUUCAUCAAGAAUGGUACAGAUACUAUCUCUCAUCCAUAGCAAAAAGGGGACUCUGAGUAGCAUGCCGUACAUAUCAGCUGACGUCACAAACCUACAGGCCAAGUACCGUAGAGAGAGCAAUUUGGUAGACAUAGAGGCCACAAUGGCCUACUUCGAUGAAAAAACGAAGGAAGAUCCAGAUUUCUUCUACAGGAUAAGGUUGGAUGAUGAGGACCGUGUCAGGAACAUGUAUUGGGUGGAUGGUGCUGCAAGGAGAGCCUAUAAACAUUUCCGAGAUUGCAUUUCAUUCGACGCGAUGUACCUCACCAAUAUGUACAAGAUGCCAUGCGCUCCGUUCAUAGGAAUAAAUAACCACAAUCAGUCGUUUCAGUUCGGCUGCGGGCUCGUCCGGAACAAAGACACGGAUGGGUACGUUUGGCUGUUCAAGACCUUCUUGGAGUGCAUGGAUGGACUUGCUCCGAUGAACAUAAUAACAGACCAAGAUUUCAGCAUGCGUGCAGGCAUAGAGGAGGUCUUUCCGUUGGCAGUGCACAGGCAUUGCAGGUGGCACAUUAUAAAGAAGGCUGAGGAGACACUAGGACCGUACUUUGCUGACCGUCCAGAGCUGCACAAGGCAUUCGAGCUGUGCAUGGACCACAGCUUGACGGUGGAGGAGUUUGAAAGGAGUUGGAUGGCCAUGACUAAAACACAUCAAGUCCAAGACAACGAGACUCUUGUUAGCCUGUGGGAGAAGCAAAUGUACUGGGUGCCGGCCUACUUCAUGCAGUGCUUCUUCCCCUUUCUGCAGACUACGCAGCGCACGGAGGGGUUCAAUGCUGUUUUGAAGCGGUACGUCAGCCCUGGCAAUUCAUUGCUACAGUUUGCCAAGUAGUACACAGCUUUGCAAUAAAAAAUUCUGGGAUCUGAGCUACAGCAAGAAGUGACCACAGCACUAAAGCAGCCAAAAUUGCUAACGUAUUUACUGAUAGAGAGGCAAAUGAGCAAGAUAUACACCAACAAGAUCUUUAACAAAUUCCAGGAAGAAAUAAAGCGUGCCAGCAUGUUCACGGCUUUCCAAGUGGACGAACAUACGUUCAAGGGCAUGUCAGAUUUAGAACCUGAAGACCCGGAAGGAAGGAACUACUUCGUCAAAGCCUCAAUAGGCGAAGGCGAGUACUACUGCCAAUGCUGCAAGUUCGAACGGGACGGCAUUGCGUGCUGUCACAUACUAAAAGUAAUGGACAUGAACGCUGUGACACGGAUGCCCCGUCAUUUCAUAAGGCGGCGAUGGACUUGGGACGCUGACGACGCGUUGGCGCCGCAGACAACACAUGCAGUUCUGGCUAUGCUUGACGAGAGACCUGAGUCAACCAUGGAAGUCGUGAGGCACGUUGUGCUGACAAAGAACUAUGCUGAGCUAAUUGAUGAAGUGUGCAAGAGUGAUGAGACAGCGAGAGUAGCAGAAAAACACAGGAAGGCACUCGAAAGAGAGCUUGAUGAGAUCAAGAAGAGAAAAGCUGAGGAAGCCUUACACCGGUUCCCCCGCACAUCAAGUGUGCCUUCAUCCACGGGGCCAUCAUCUGAAAACUCGGAGAUAGGAUCUGGAACAACAAGCACACAGACCCAGGUCAGGAACCCACCCCGUUCUAUCACAAAGGGUCGUCCGAGAGAGAGAAGGUACAAGUCGGGAUUAGAGAUCCAAGCAAAACACAAGAAAACAAAGAAAGGGGCGGGCAAUCCAUGA